GAUGAACGCUAGCGGCAGGCCUAAUACAUGCAAGUCGAGGGGCAGCGCGGUAGCAAUACUGGCGGCGACCGGCGCACGGGUGCGUAACACGUAUGCAACCUACCUUCAACUGGAGGAUAGCCCGGGGAAACUCGGAUUAAUACUCCAUAACACAGGGAUCCCGCAUGGGAAUAUUGUUAAAGCUACGGCGGUUGAAGAUGGGCAUGCGUUCGAUUAGCUAGUUGGUGUAGGUAACGGCUCACCAAGGCUACGAUCGAUAGGGGGUCUGAGAGGAUGAUCCCCCCACACUGGUACUGAGAUACGGACCAGACUCCUACGGGAGGCAGCAGUAGGGAAUAUUGGUCAAUGGGCGCAAGCCUGAACCAGCCAUGCCGCGUGCCAGGAAGAAGGCCCUCUGGGUUGUAAACUGCUUUUGAUAGGGAACAAAUGCCACUUGCGAGUGAGCUGAGUGUACCUAUAGAAUAAGCACCGGCUAACUCCGUGCCAGCAGCCGCGGUAA
rnacentral:rRNA from 1 species